rnacentral:rRNA from 1 species
UACGUAGGGUGCAAGCGUUGCCCGGAAUUAUUGGGCGUAAAGAGCUUGUAGGCGGUUUGUCGCGUCUGCUGUGAAAUUUCGGGGCUCAACCCCGAACUUGCAGUGGGUACGGGCAGACUAGAGUGUGGUAGGGGAGACUGGAAUUCCUGGUGUAGCGGUGAAAUGCGCAGAUAUCAGGAGGAACACCGAUGGCGAAGGCAGGUCUCUGGGCCACUACUGACGCUGAGAAGCGAAAGCAUGGGGAGCGAACAGG